GUGAUGCUGGAUCUGCUUUACAAUCAAAAAAAUCUGAAUCGCACUGCAGUGUAUAAAUAUUCAAUAGACAUCAUGAUUGAGUUCUUCUGAAUCGUGGAUCCUACACAGACUAAUCAAACAAUGAAUGGGAAGCGUCUGAAAUCAUCAGAAAAGGAAAAAAGGAGAAAGGAAAAAUGAACUAAAGCGGAAAAAAUUACACUGGAUUUGGAUGCGGAGGAGAGAGAGAGAUAAGAAGCAUAGAAAACUUGAAACAAAUCCGCAACUCGAUACAAUCUCUUCAAUUUAUAAACUUCUGAACAGUUACAACUGUCAAGGGAAAAUGAUGACGGUUCCACAGAAGAUCUAGAAGAUCUGAGUGCGAAAAGAUACAACCUUUAAGGAAAAAACAGAUGAUCUGUUUAAGAGACGCCUGUGAGGAGGUAUGAUGAAGCCGUCGAUUGCUAUAGUAAAUCUAGUACGUCAUUCUUUUGUUCCUAACCAAAACCUUAACCAUUAAAUUAUAUCACAUACACGAUUCUCACCAUUAGAUUUUGAUUUUUUCCUAUAAUAAAAUGAUGAUGUCAUCAGUUAGAUAAAAAAAGAUUUGCUAUUAUAUAUAGAUAAUAAAUAUAUACUAUUUCGAAAUUCAAACCCUAAACCCUAAACUCAAUUCUAAACCCUAACCAUCAAUCAUAAACCAUAUUAUAUUUUGAAAUAUGAACCAUAAACCCUAAACCAUCAAGCUUAAACCCUUUUAUUUUUUGAAAUACAGACCCUAAAUCCUGAAACAUCAAUUCUAAACUCUAAACCCCGAAACAUCAACUCUAAACUCUAAACCCUAAACCCUAAAAUUCAGCUCUAAACCCUAAACCAUCAACUCUAAACCCUAAAUUUUCAACACUAAACCCUAAACCCUAAAACGUAAACUCUAAACCCUAAAAAGAAAACUCUAAACCCUAAACCCUAAAAAAAUGACCCUAAACCCUAAAACAUCAACUCUAAACCCUAAACCUUCAACUUAAAAUCUAAACCCUAAAUCCUAAACCCUAAACCCUAAACCCUAAAACCGUAGAGUUGAUGUUUUAGGGUUUAGAUUUGAAGGUUUAGGGGUUUAGGGUUUACAGUUUACUUUUAGGGUUUAGAGUUUACAGUUUACUUUUAGGGUUUAGGGUUUAGAGUUUAGGGUUUAGGGUUUAGGGUUUUGAUUUUUAAGGUUUUGAUUUGAAGGUUUAGGGUCUAGGAUUCAAAUUUCAGAAAAAUAUAGGGUUUAGAGUUUACGUUUAGGGUUUUGAGCUGAUGUUGUAGGGUUUAGAUAUGAAGGUUAAGGGUUUAGAGUUUAGAGUUGAAGUUUCGCGGUUUAGGGUUUAGAGUUGAUGUUUCAUGGUUUAGGGUUUAGAGUUGAUGAUUUAGGGUUUAAAGUUGAUGUUUUAAGUUUAGAUUUAGGGUUUAGGGUUUACUUUGAAGGUUUCAUUUAGAGUUGAUGAUUUAGGGUUUAAAGUUGAUGUUUUAAGUUAGAUUUAUAUAAAAGUAUUAAUUUCCUAAACCAUUAGAUGAUCAGCGCACUGUCUGUACGGUGAUGCUGGAUCUGCUUUACAAUCAAAAAAAUCUGAAUCGCACUGCAGUGUAUAAAUAUUCAAUAGACAUCAUGAUUGAGUUCUUCUGAAUCGUGGAUCCUACACAGACUAAUCAAACAAUGAAUGGGAAGCGUCUGAAAUCAUCAGAAAAGGAAAAAAGGAGAAAGGAAAAAUGAACUAAAGCGGAAAAAAUUACACUGGAUUUGGAUGCGGAGGAGAGAGAGAGAUAAGAAGCAUAGAAAACUUGAAACAAAUCCGCAACUCGAUACAAUCUCUUCAAUUUAUAAACUUCUGAACAGUUACAACUGUCAAGGGAAAAUGAUGACGGUUCCACAGAAGAUCUAGAAGAUCUGAGUGCGAAAAGAUACAACCUUUAAGGAAAAAACAGAUGAUCUGUUUAAGAGACGCCUGUGAGGAGGUAUGAUGAAGCCGUCGAUUGCUAUAGUAAAUCUAGUACGUCAUUCUUUUGUUCCUAACCAAAA
rnacentral:lncRNA from 1 species